rnacentral:lncRNA from 1 species
CAGACGCCUCCCCGAAACCUCGCACCGGCUCGGGGAAGGAGGAGGAGGAGGAGGAAGAGGAGGAGGAAGAGGAGGAGGAGGAGGAGGAGGAAGGAGUGGUGAGCUGGGCCACCGUCCGGAUGCUGGGAGACCGACAGAGACAGAGAGCUACUAACGAAGAAGACGAGGUGUUCAGUCUGCUGCUGCAGGGGCCGUUGGUGCGGUCGGACUCCCGCGGCGGCCUGAAGUCUCCGAUCUCCCUCGACAGUCCCCGCCGACCGUCGGAGAGCAACCUCGACUCGUUCAGCCGCCACUUUGAGAGCAUCAUGGAGUCCCACCGGGCCAAAGGAACGUCCUACAGCAGCCUGGACAGCGUCGACCUGCUGACAUCUGGGUCCACGUCCGUCUUCACCUUCGACCUGCCGACCCUCACGCCAGAGAUCCAGAGUCAGAUCUGCGACAGCGCCAAGCAGAUCAUCGAGCUGAGCUUCGCCCCGCUGGCCCACCCGGACCCGGCCACCCUCUCGGAGACGUCGCG